AACGGCCGUACCAUGCUGAAUAUACCGGUUCUCGUUAGAUCACCGAAGUCAAGCAUCAUAGGGCGCGGUCAGUACUUGGGUGGGUGACCACCUGGGAACACCGCGUGCCGUU
rnacentral:rRNA from 1 species